GCAUCUUGCAUCUCCUCAGGGCAGGAAGUGCGCAGAAACUGUAACUCCGCGCAGACCGCGCCUGAGGGGCUGCCGGGGC
ensembl:miRNA